AUGAUGACAUUGGCAGGCACUAACCAAGCUCAGGGAAACUGGGAACAACCUCAGAACCAAAAUCAGACACAGCACAAGCAGUGGCCACAGGCCACUGCAGAGCAAAUUCAAGUCGCACAGAUGAUUUCAGACCAUAAUGAUGCUGACUUAGAGGAGAAGGUGAAACGAUUGAUAUCACAGGCCAAAACCAGAUGAAUGUGUGAUUGCUUUCCAUGACUGCCAUGGAGAUGUCAACAGAGCCCUCAAUGUUCUGCUGAAAGGAAACCCAGACACGCAUUCCUGGGAGAUGGUUGGGAAGAAGAAAGGAGUCUUAGGACAGAAGGAUGGUGAACAGAUAGAAUCUAAUGAAGAAGGAAAAGAAAAUCGAGACCAGGACAGAGACUAUAGUCGGUGACGUGGUGGACCACCAAGUCAGGUGAGAGGUGCCAGCUGUGGGCGAGAGUUUGGGAGCCCCGAAAAUGGAUUGCAUGGCACUAAGAGUGGAGGUCCUUAUGGAAGAGGCACAGAAAGAGGCAGAAGAGGCCAUGGCCGAGGCAGAAGUGGCUCUGGUAGACUGGGAGGAAGGUUUUCUGCUCAAGGAAUGGGAACCUUUAACCCAGCUGAUUAUGCAGAACCAGUCAGUACUGAUGAUAGCUAUGGCAAUAGUGGCAAUACCUGGAACAACACUGGCCACUUUGAACUACAUGAUGGAACGAUUGAUUUCAUUGGGGCUGAGGGAUCAAAUUAUCCCUGAAAAUUUGAGAUUGCUCCUGGUGCAUGGAGGACUGCAACAGAAGAGUGGAGAACUGAAGAUUGGAAUGAAGAUCUCUCUGAGACCAAGAUCUUCACUGCCUCUAAUGGGUCUUCAUUGCCUCUGCCUGUGGAGAAUGUGACAAUCACUGCUGGUCAGAGAACUGACUUAGCUGUUCUGUUGGGGAAGAUACCAUCUUCAGUGGAGAAUGAUUCAUCUAACCUGGAUCCAUCUGAGGCUCCUUCUCUGGCCCAGCCUCUGGUGUUUAAUAACUCGAAGCAAAAUGUCAUGUCACAGCCUGCUUCAGGGAAUACAUUUUCUCAUCAUAGUAUGAUGAGCAUGUUGGGGAGAGGAUUUGGUGAUGUUGGGGAAGCUAAAAGUGGAAGUCUCACAGGCUCCCAGUUCUUUGAGCAAUUCAUGACUGCUCAGGCCCUGGCUCAGUUGGCUGCUCAGCAUUCUCAAUCUGGAAGCACCACCACCACGUCUUGGGACAUGGGUUCAAUGACACACUCACCAUUACUGGUUCAGUAAGAUCUGAAGAAUGCAGAUGACUCAACAGUGCAUAACCCCUUUACAAAGCAUCAGGCUUUCACCCCAUCUCCAACCAUGAUGGAGGUGUUUCUUCAGGAGAAGCCACCCCCAGUGACUACCUCCACAGCUGCACCUCCCACCCCCUCUUCUCCUCUGCCAAGCAAGUCCACCAUGGCUCCACAGAUGUCGCCGGGGUCUUCAGACAACCAGUCGUCCAGCCCUCAGCUGGCUCAGCAGAAACUGAAACAGCAGAAGAAAAAAACCUCGUUGACUUCUAAGAUUCCUGCUCUGGCUGUGGUGAUGCCUGGCUCAGCAGAUAUCUCAGGGUUAAAUCUGUAGUUUGGGGCAUUGCAGUUUGGGUCAGAGCCUGUCCUUUCUGAUUAUGAGUCUACCCCUACCACUAGCGCCUCUUCAAGCCAGGCUCCUAGUAGCUUGUAUACCAGCACAGCCAGUGAAUCUUCAGAGUGGCCCAAUUCAGUUGACAACCUAUAUCUCCCAAAAUAAUGCUCAGGGCCCUCUAUAUGAACAGAGAUCCACGCAGAUUCGGCAGUACCCCAGCUCUAUCUCUUCAUCACCCUUAAAGGACCUGACUCAGGUUAAGGUAGUGGCUUCAUGA